rnacentral:lncRNA from 10 species
CUUCCUCUUCUCCCAUUUAUCUGCCCCAGUCUCUCUGAGGAUGCUAUGAAGGCUGUCUGGACGUGGCUCAGAAAACUGCUGUGAAGACCGCAGGGAGCACAGGACGGCCGAGUCCCCAGCGCUGCCUGUGCCAGGCCUGGCCCACCUGCUGCUGGCACUAGGGACUCAGCACUUUGCGGAAGCUUGGGUGGAAAACCACUGUCCUCAUGAUGAAAGAAGCC